UACGGGGGGGGUAAGCGUUGUUCGGAAUUACUGGGCGUAAAGGGCUCGUAGGCGGCCAACUAAGUCAGACGUGAAAUCCCUCAGCUUAACUGGGAACUGCGUCUGAUACUGGAUGGCUUGGAUUCGGGAGAGGAAUGCGGAAUUCCAGGUGUAGCGGUGAAAUGCGUAGAUAUCAGGAGGAACACCGGUGGCGAAGGCGGGUCUCUGGGCCGAUACUGACGCUGAGGAGCGAAAGCGUGGGGAGCGAACAGG
rnacentral:rRNA from 1 species